AAAGCCCUUGGGGCAAAAAUCGCCAAGAUGGAAGUUUUACGGGUGUGGACCCCUCGCCCCGGUGCCCGGAAAGGUUAAUUGAUGGGGGUUAAUCCUUAGGGAGGAGCUUCUUGAUCGAAGCCCCCGGUAAACGGCGGCCCUAAAUAUAAACGGUCCUAAGGUAGCGAAAUUCCCUUGUCGGGUAAGUUUCCGACCUGCACGAAUGGUGUAACCAUGGCCACGCUGUCUCCACCCGAGACUCAGUGAAAUUGAAAUCGCAGUGAAGAUGCUGUGUACCCGCGGCUAGACGGAAAGACCCCGUGAACCUUUACUACAGCUUGGCACUGAACAUUGAACCUACAUGUGUAGGAUAGGUGGGAGACUUUGAAGAUGAGACGCUAGUUUUGUUGGAGUCAACCUUGAAAUACCACCCUUGUAGUUUUGAUGUUCUAACGUUGGCCCCUGAAUCGGGGUUACGGACAGUGCCUGGUGGGUAGUUUGACUGGGGCGGUCUCCUCCUAAAGAGUAACGGAGGAGCACGAAGGUUGGCUAAGUACGGUCGGACAUCGUACGGUUAGUGUAAUGGUAGAAGCCAGCUUAACUGCGAGACAGACACGUCGAGCAGGUACGAAAGUAGGUCAUAGUGAUCCGGUGGUUCUGAAUGGAAGGGCCAUCGCUCAACGGAUAAAAGGUACUCCGGGGAUAACAGGCUGAUACCGCCCAAGAGUUCAUAUCGACGGCGGUGUUUGGCACCUCGAUGUCGGCUCAUCACAUCCUGGGGCUGAAGUCGGUCCCAAGGGUAUGGCUGUUCGCCAUUUAAAGUGGUACGCGAGCUGGGUUUAGAACGUCGUGAGACAGUUCGGUCCCUAUCUGCCGUGGGCGUUUGAGAAUUGAGAGGGGUUGCUCCUAGUACGAGAGGACCGGAGUGAACGAACCGCUGGUGUUCGGGUUGUCAUGCCAAUGGCAUUGCCCGGUAGCUACGUUCGGAACUGAUAAGCGCUGAAAGCAUCUAAGCGCGAAGCAGGCCUCGAGAUGAUUUCUCACUAGAGCUCUCAGCCGAAUCUGAUCAU
rnacentral:rRNA from 1 species